AUCCCAGAUAUCUCCAGGUGUAUCCCAGAUAUCUCCAGGUGUAUCCCAGGUGUCUCCAGGUGUAUCCCAGAUAUCUCCAGAUAUCUCCAGGUGUAUCCCAGAUAUCCCCAGGUGUCUCCAGGUGUAUCCCAGAUAUCCCCAGGUGUAUCCCAGGUGUCUCCAGGUGUCUCCAGGUGUCUCCAGGUGUAUCCCAGAUAUCUCCAGGUGUAUCCCAGAUAUCUCCAGGUGUAUCCAGGUGUCUCCAGGUGUAUCCAGGUGUAUCCCAGGUGUCUCCAGGUGUCUCCAGGUGCCUCCAGGUGUCCCCAUAUAUCUCCAGGUGUCUCCGGGUGUAUCCCAGAUAUCUCCAGGUGUAUCCCAGAUAUCUCCAGGUGUAUCCCAGAUAUCUCCAGGUGUCUCCAGGUGUAUCCCAGAUAUCUCCAGGUGUCUCCGGGUGUAUCCCAGAUAUCUCCAGGUGUAUCCCAGAUAUCCCCAGGUGUAUCCCAGGUGUCUCCAGGUGUUUCCAGGUGUCUCCAGGUGUAUCCCAGAUAUCUCCAGGUGUCUCCAGGUGUCUCCAGGUGUCUCCAGGUGUCUCCAGGUGUAUCCCAGAUAUCUCCAGGUGUAUCCCAGGUGUCUCCAGGUGUCUCCAGGUGUCUCCCAGCUGUCCCCAGGUGUCUCCAGGUGUCUCCAGGUGUAUCCAGGUGUGCCCAGGUGUCUCCAGGUGUGCCCAGGUGCAUCCCGCUGUUUUCCAGGCGUUCUCCCGGGCGCUGCCGCUGGCGCAGCUGGAGCUGGACUUGGUUUUCGGGGGGGCCCUGAGGGAGCUGCUCCCCCCCAUCGCCCGCCGGCUCUUCCCGGGAUACAGCCCCAAGGUCGGGAUUUUGGGAACCCAAAAAUGGGAUUGGGGAUGGAAAAAUGGGAUUUGGGACCCAAAAAAUGGGGUCAGGGGCACAAAAAAUGGGAUUUGGGAGCCCAAAAAUGGGGUCGGGGGCACAAAAAAUGGGAUUUGGGGACGGAAAAAUGGGAUUUGGGAGUGAAAAAAUGGGAUUUGGGGACACAAAAAUGGGAUUUGGGACUGAAAAAAUGGGAUUUGGGACCCAAAAAAUGGGAUUUGGGACCUAAAAUAUGGGGGAAGACCCCAAAAAAUGGGAUUUGGGGGCACAAAAAUUGGGAUUUGGGACCCAAAAAAUGGGAUCAGGGGCACAAAAAAUGGGAUUUGGGAACCAAAAAAUGUGAUUUGGGACC
rnacentral:lncRNA from 1 species